CCUCGGAUAGUAUAAUGGUGAGUAUUACGGUCUGUAAAAUUGGCGAUCGAAGUUCAAUUUCCUGUCCGAGGG
rnacentral:tRNA from 1 species